UACGUAGGCAGCGAGCGUUGUUCGGAGUUACUGGGCGUAAAGGGUGUGUAGGCGGUUGUUUAAGUUUGGUGUGAAAUCUCCCGGCUCAACUGGGAGGGUCAUUCGAUACUGGCGGCUCGAGGCCGGUAGGGGGAAGCGGAAUUCCCGGUGUAGUGGUGGAAUGCGUAGAUAUCGGGAGGAACACCAGUGGCGAAGGCGGCUUCCUGGACCGG
rnacentral:rRNA from 1 species